CCAUUAUAGAGGAUGGGAAAUGGGAAAUAACAGCGUAUACUGUAGUGAUACUGCAGUGAUGAUCAGUACGAUAUGGAACGUACGUGUACAUGACACUUCCUUAGCUACCGAAAUCCCAUGCGAAAGAAAAAUGAUAACCAAAUUGGACAGCCUUCAUGUGGGUAGGGCUAGAAUUUGCCACACAAAAACUUACCAAAUGGGACCAUAGACAAGAAGCUGUUAGCCAAUUAUUUGCUCUGAGUUAAUGGGUUAGGUGCAUCAGCAAGCCUCUCUCGCCUGCCUCUGCAUACCUUGUCUCUCUCAAAGAAUUAAAAGUUGAAACUAGUGAAGUACAACAUCAGGUCAAUUCCUUCUUGUCUGCGUUCCAGUUACUUGAUGAUCUAUGGCAGGCAUGGAUUAAAACAAUAUUGCAGUAAAUUUGAGAUUAUCUUUCUUUUAAGGGGAUAGACGUAGAAGGGGAUGCAUGGGGUACCCAGAUGCAUGUGGGGCAACUGCAUGCGUACACCUGAUCUUCUCUUGCACUAAUAUGCUGCACAUGCAUCAGCACAAAACACAGUGAACGCACCUAUUUCGUGAAUGUGCAAACUUUCCUGGGACUUGUUUAAUUUGCUCAUGGCAAUGGCUUACAUGCAGCACAGAGGAAAAUGAAGGAUUGGUUAUCACACUGGUUAUUUCAGAAUUGCAGGAAACGGGCAAGACAGAGACGAUAUCAGUUUAGCUAGUGAAAGAAAUUGCAAGCUGG
rnacentral:lncRNA from 1 species